GCGGCCUCUGCGCCUGCGCGCGAUCGCCCGGCAGACCCCGGGGAGGAGGUGCCGGAGUUGUAGGUCUUGAGCCUUCCGGCCUGGGGCGGGUCGGCUUCGUGCAUCUGCUGGGAGGAUCCUGCGAGAAAUCUGGCCUCGCUGUUGCAUUCCGGACAGUGGGGUCUGCCCCGAGAGUGGGACGCAGUCUCUGAUGAGUGUCCCACCUUAAGACUUGUCACGGCUGGCCAGCUAAGCUAUGUGGACCCAGCUACGGGCUAUGUAGUGCUCACAAGACUGGCCCACUUGCAGAGAGGUGCCUGCUGUGGUUCUGCCUGCAGACAUUGUCCAUAUGGCCAAGUCAAUGUGAAAGAUCCAUCUAAAAAGAAGCAAUUCAACUCCUACUUUUAUGUUUGACAACAACUUUACCUCUGUUCUGUCAAGUUGAAUUAAUGUUUUUGAAAAUAAAGCCCUAACCUAGAAUUCUUAUCUGUUGCAAAUAUUUGAACACCUAUUUAGUAUUAAGUGCAUGUAUUCAAAAGAACAUCCAUAAAAUGGACAUGAUUUUCCUUCCUUUUUGCUGCACGAUCACAUGCAUAUGUUGAAGAUGAAAACAAUGGCUGUCCUAUUAGUAUAUGAAAGCAGCCGCUGGGCCACAGGAGUACCAUUGGGUUUUCCUUAGCUUUGCUACCCCCCGUGUUUUCUCAUCAGUGCAAAGAAGGUUGCUGGCAAAUAGCAAGUACAUUCUUCACUUUAUUUACGCCAUCAGCUUAAGGAGAUGGGUAUAAUGCCAUGUAGUGCAGCAUACCCCAAGAAAUGCCAUCCUCCAGCAAGAGAUGCUCUCAUUGUCCAUCUGUUCUUUCAGUGUAAAUUUCAGAGCAUUUUAACCUAGGGGUCGGGCCACUAAACGUCCCUCCCUUAGAUCAUUUUUCAUUCUCCCUCUUCCCAGUCUGCCACAUUUUCUUUUGACACUUCUGAGGCAUAGCUACCUUUGAACAUCUUUUCUUGCCCUGCAUCCAUUUUGUCCACUGUGGUGAUUCCCCUGUGAGAGCCCAGCCUCUGGUGAGGCAAGUUCUCCCAUGGACUCUUCUUUUCACACCUUCUCUGCUUCCUUAGCAGGACAGCAGCCACUGAGAAGCCCUUUGUCUGCAGGUGGAAGAGUGAUGAAAUAAAAUGAGGCUUGUUGCCCAGAGUUGACCCUCAAACAUGAACCACUCAGAGACUAUCAGAUCUUAAGUAACCAAAAGGUUCUAGAGCCAAAUAAAAGUCCAUCUUAGCUAUAAAAUAUGGGAAAACAAAUUUCUAGUGAUUCUGUUUUUCUUUAGUUACUACUUUGUUAUUUACAUACUUUUCAUGCCCCAUAUUAAAUUGCCCCCAAUGCCUG
rnacentral:lncRNA from 1 species